rnacentral:tRNA from 2 species
AAGGGCUUAGCUUAAUUAAAGCGGUUGAGUUGCAUUCAGUUGAUGCAGGAUAAAAUCUUGUAGUCCUUA